AGACCCGAAACCCGGUGAUCUAGCCAUGGGCAGGUUGAAGGUUGGGUAACACUAACUGGAGGACCGAACCGACUAAUGUUGAAAAAUUAGCGGAUGACCUGUGGCUGGGGGUGAAAGGCCAAUCAAACCGGGAGAUAGCUGGUUCUCCCCGAAAGCUAUUUAGGUAGCGCCUCGUGAAUUCAUCUCCGGGGGUAGAGCACUGUUUCGGCUAGGGGGCCAUCCCGGCUUACCAACCCGAUGCAAACUGCGAAUACCGGAGAAUGUUAUCACGGGAGACACACGGCGGGUGCUAACGUCCGUCGUGAAGAGGGAAACAACCCAGACCGCCAGCUAAGGUCCCAAAGUCAUGGUUAAGUGGGAAACGAUGUGGGAAGGCCCAGACAGCCAGGAUGUUGGCUUAGAAGCAGCCAUCAUUUAAAGAAAGCGUAAUAGCUCACUGGUCGAGUCGGCCUGCGCGGAAGAUGUAACGGGGCUAAACCAUGCACCGAAGCUGCGGCAGCGAACGUAUCACCCAAGACAACUUUACGGAGUUGACGAUUGACGGAGCGAAGCGACGUCAAAGCGUUCAUUAAAGUCGAGUUGGCUUAGGGAUACGUUCGUUGGGUAGGGGAGCGUUCUGUAAGCCUGUGAAGGUGUGUCGUGAGGCAUGCUGGAGGUAUCAGAAGUGCGAAUGCUGACAUAAGUAACGAUAAAGCGGGUGAAAAGCCCGCUCGCCGGAAGACCAAGGGUUCCUGUCCAACGUUAAUCGGGGCAGGGUGAGUCGACCCCUAAGGCGAGGCCGAAAGGCGUAGUCGAUGGGAAACGGGUUAAUAUUCCCGUACUUGGUGUUACUGCGAAGGGGGGACGGAGAAGGCUAUGUUGGCCGGGCGACGGUUGUCCCGGUUUAAGCGUGUAGGUGUGUGUUCCAGGUAAAUCCGGUUCACUUUAACACUGAGGCGUGACGACGAGGCACUACGGUGCUGAAGCAACAAAUGCCCUGCUUCCAGGAAAAGCCUCUAAGCAUCAGGUAACAUCAAAUCGUACCCCAAACCGACACAGGUGGUCAGGUAGAGAAUACCAAGGCGCUUGAGAGAACUCGGGUGAAGGAACUAGGCAAAAUGGUGCCGUAACUUCGGGAGAAGGCACGCUGACACGUAGGUGAAGUGAUUUACUCAUGGAGCUGAAGUCAGUCGAAGAUACCAGCUGGCUGCAACUGUUUAUUAAAAACACAGCACUGUGCAAACACGAAAGUGGACGUAUACGGUGUGACGCCUGCCCGGUGCCGGAAGGUUAAUUGAUGGGGUCAGCGCAAGCGAAGCUCCUGAUCGAAGCCCCGGUAAACGGCGGCCGUAACUAUAACGGUCCUAAGGUAGCGAAAUUCCUUGUCGGGUAAGUUCCGACCUGCACGAAUGGCGUAAUGAUGGCCAGGCUGUCUCCACCCGAGACUCAGUGAAAUUGAACUCGCUGUGAAGAUGCAGUGUACCCGCGGCAAGACGGAAAGACCCCGUGAACCUUUACUAUAGCUUGACACUGAACAUUGAGCCUUGAUGUGUAGGAUAGGUGGGAGGCUUUGAAGUGUGGACGCCAGUCUGCAUGGAGCCGACCUUGAAAUACCACCCUUUAAUGUUUGAUGUUCUAACGUGGACCCGUAAUCCGGGUUGCGGACAGUGUCUGGUGGGUAGUUUGACUGGGGCGGUCUCCUCCUAAAGAGUAACGGAGGAGCACGAAGGUUGGCUAAUCCUGGUCGGACAUCAGGAGGUUAGUGCAAUGGCAUAAGCCAGCUUGACUGCGAGCGUGACGGCGCGAGCAGGUGCGAAAGCAGGUCAUAGUGAUCCGGUGGUUCUGAAUGGAAGGGCCAUCGCUCAACGGAUAAAAGGUACUCCGGGGAUAACAGGCUGAUACCGCCCAAGAGUUCAUAUCGACGGCGGUGUUUGGCACCUCGAUGUCGGCUCAUCACAUCCUGGGGCUGAAGUAGGUCCCAAGGGUAUGGCUGUUCGCCAUUUAAAGUGGUACGCGAGCUGGGUUUAGAACGUCGUGAGACAGUUCGGUCCCUAUCUGCCGUGGGCGCUGGAGAACUGAGGGGGGCUGCUCCUAGUACGAGAGGACCGGAGUGGACGCAUCACUGGUGUUCGGGUUGUCAUGCCAAUGGCACUGCCCGGUAGCUAAAUGCGGAAGAGAUAAGUGCUGAAAGCAUCUAAGCACGAAACUUGCCCCGAGAUG
rnacentral:rRNA from 1 species